CAAAUUUUUAGCAUAAAAACUUAUGAAUGAAAGUCUAACAAGUGUGUGAUGUACCUUUCUGACAAAUGGCCACACCCCUAGCUUUCCAUCAAAAAUACAAUUACCUGCAUCGUCAUAUAUUGGUCUUCCUACUGCUGACAGAAACAUAACUUUGCCAAUGCGAUUCUUAUUGUGCACAGUCCUAUGUGGAUCCUCCUCCUCAGGAAGCAUAUAAUAUGUCAUGUCAGAUGUGGUGUUGAACCACUUCUCAUCCAUGUGGAUGAUGUUGUACAUAUCACGGAAUUUGGGUUCAAUAGGCAGUGUCUUUUCAUCUAACAUGGAAAUACACCAUCGUAGCCUAUCUUUCUUAGUAUCUUCCCUCAAAUAAUGCUUUAGUGUACUGGAGUGGGGGCGUAGUAGGCCUUGCUUGAACCAUUUAUGCAGGGUGGUCUUCUUUACACCAAUAGCUUUAGCUAGAGAUCGUAUAGUCCUCCUCCUAUGCAAGGGAACUCCAAGAACACUUGAUAGAUCAAUCUGUAACCUUUUGCGGCCACAAUUCUUUCUCCGUGAUCUGACAUCUACUGGUCUGCCUUGUGCACGACACUGCUUAGCUCUUCGCCAAACACCACGCACUUGAUACCUACUCACCUAAAACAUGUCUGCUACUAUUUUUGUAGUGUUCUUUUUUAAUUUUCCAUGAUUGCUUCUCUCAAGCAAUGCUUCAUAUAUUUGUUGCCUUUGAGCGUCCGUCAAAUUUCUACACUUACGUGAAAUAUUUGUGUUUGUAUGUUCAUGUUGUUCAACGUUAGAGUCCUCCAACUCCUCCUCUUCAAAAACUAUGUCGACAGCAUCAGUGUAGACACCAUAGUCGUCCAUGUCCUCGAUCAUGUCUACAAAAAAAAAUGUGAGACAGCAGCAGCAAAAAAAGUUGUGAGCUCAUGUUGGUGAUCGGCAGCUUCUAAAUUGAUGUCAAAAUUAUCCUGUUCAUGUGGAGCAUCAAAGUUGAUACCUCCAUCUUGUUGAUGGCCGUCUUCAACAGCGAGAACUGCAAUAGGGUGGGAGAUGUCAUUGAUGGCUGAAAGAGCACCGUCUUGCUCUUUCUGAAGAUAGUGGGACUGACCUAUGAGUGGAUGCACUUCUUCAUUAAUGAGAUGAAAUUGAUCUUCCUGGAGGUAUUGGAUUUCAUGUCCUGUAUCAUCAGCAAGCUCUUGAUUUAGGUCUGGCUGAUGGAGGUUGGUGCAGCAUUUAGAUCAGGUUGAUGGAGGUUGUAACACUUCGGAGAAUGGGGGAAGGCUGCCAUUGUUCGAGUCUUUAUAGUGCCGCAAAGUGGCGCCCAGUUCAAAUUUCAGGCUGAAGACAAACGGGCGCCAGAAUGGGGACCAGAACUUUCUGUAGUACUCCUGGCCACAUUCUAAUCUGUGUAUUGCUAUUGUUUCUAUUUUGUCUGUUGCUUGUGCUGGUUGAAUUGUGACCACACAUUUGUAUCCACUACUAGAAAUACCCCUUGUAGUGACGCUUUAUUUAUAUGUUCGACACGUUUUAUUUCA